CGCAAACCGACACAGGUAGUCAAGAUGAGAAUUCUAAGGUGAGCGAGCGAACUCUCGUUAAGGAACUCGGCAAAAUGACCCCGUAACUUCGGGAGAAGGGGUGCUCUUUAGGGUUAACGCCCAGAAGAGCCGCAGUGAAUAGGCCCAAGCGACUGUUUAUCAAAAACACAGGUCUCUGCUAAACCGUAAGGUGAUGUAUAGGGGCUGACGCCUGCCCGGUGCUGGAAGGUUAAGAGGAGUGGUUAGCUUCUGCGAAGCUACGAAUCGAAGCCCCAGUAAACGGCGGCCGUAACUAUAACGGUCCUAAGGUAGCGAAAUUCCUUGUCGGGUAAGUUCCGACCCGCACGAAAGGCGUAACGAUUUGGGCACUGUCUCAACGAGAGACUCGGUGAAAUCAUAGUACC
rnacentral:rRNA from 1 species